AAGAAAUUCCCGGGCCCUGGCUUCUUGGCCUGAUGGCACUGCUAGCCUUGAAGCCUCCAGCCUGCUGGAUGCCUCCAUCCCCGGCUAUGCUGUGGCUCUCCUCAUUCUAGGCCUCCUGCUCGUCACAUUCACCCUUGUCCUGGUGCUAAAGUGGAGGGCCUCCCAUGGGGUGUUCAGCCUGGGUGUGUAGAAGCACACAGUGUGGUACAGAGGACCCUCUCCAGACAGCUGCCUCCCACCAACCCUAGAAAUGAUGCUGGGAGCUGACAGAAACUGAACUUAGGAGCACAGGAGGCCAGGAGACCUGGGACAGAGAACAGGAGGUGACCCCUCAUGCUGCUGCUCCCUCUGCUGAAACCCAAACUGCAAACCUCUCCUCUCCCUGCCUUCACCUUGCCCCACGGCUUCCACAGACAGUGCCUCAACCCCGAGGAAUGAAUCCGAAGUUCCAACACCACUGACUUUCCCAGGAACUCAGAGCCAGAGAGGGCCAAGGACCAGCUCGAGGACACACAGCCAGGGCUUCUUCCCUCCGAAACCCCCAAGGACUGGACUUGCAGGGCUGGGACAGAGGUGGGGUGGGGGAAAGCAAUGCCUUGUCAACCCACGUGGGGAGCCCCACUCCCAUCCCCAAGGUGCAUAAAGUUGAGGAACACCCCUGCUCCCACGUCCAUGCUCAUUCAGGGCCCUGCUCCAAGUGCUUGGC
rnacentral:lncRNA from 1 species